GCCCUGCCCAGCUCCACUUGGGACUGCUCUGCCCAGGCCCCAUUUCAGCCCAGCUGGUGCCUAGAACAGCAAUGUAGUGCAGUGCUGUAGAGGAGCGGAGUACUUCUUGCAGAGCCUGGACUGGCACUUAAGGGCAAGUCAUUCCCCAUUCCUGGGGAGUGGAAAGAUUCUUCGGUGCAGGGAAGAGUGUGUUCCUGACCAGACGUCCAAGAGAACCUGACCUGUUUCUUAGAGACCAAUUAAGAUGGGAAGUGUGCGAGUUGAACGUCCUUACAAAAUAGCAGCACGAAUGCAUUUCUCCUGUGUGAUAAUUGU